CCUUCAUACACAUGAGAAUUAUUGUAUUGUGGAAGAAGUUUUGGAGGUCUUCCACAUGGAGUGCUACAGGGAGACAUGUGCGCUGUGGCCUGUGAAUAUUGUCAUUCUGUAGCCUUCGGAAGAGUCGCAGGGGUGAUGGUCGGACUCACGUUUAUCGCCGAA